AAAAUCCGUCGACUUUAGAAAUCGUGAGG
rnacentral:tRNA from 67 species